AUCGGACCGAGCGAGGUAAAACGACCAAACGAGAGGGCACAAGGGGGCAGCUACCACUCGCGGCCGCCUCCAACGCGAGCUCGCGGUGGCGGUGGCGGGCCGCCGCGGCCCUCAAAAGCGGCGACUACAUCGAGGGCAGGGUGGGACCGCGCUUACCUCGACUCGGGUCAAUCAAGCAGCGACCCGCGGUACCCGAGGGAGGGUGCCUUCGAGCUGCUCGAGGACCGCUGGCCCGUGACCCGAGACGCCCCCCGACGCUACCUACCCUAGCCCGUGGACCGGCGGCUGGAGGUGCUCGACGUCUCGGAGGACGACUCGGAGAGCUUCUGAGCUUGCGCGUCCUGGGAGGGCAUCGCCGCCCCACGACCUACUUCCUCCACGCGCUCGACAGGAUGCUGCACCUCCUGACGCGGCUGGCUAAGCAGUUGCCGCGCCUCUGGGCGUCCGCUGGACGAGCCGCAUUACGGUCACAGCGGGCCGACUUCUAGUUAGCGGAAGGCUCCUCCGCCUCCACCGAGGGUACCUAGUUGUCGUCCCAGGAUCUCAAGUCCUGGGCUCGCGUCCUCCGCUUGCUCUCCAUGACCUCCAUGGUCAAGCUACUAACACGGAGGCCAGGACUUAUGAGAGGACGAUGACCGGCGUGACACACGCGCCUCGGACCACUAGUACAUCCGUACCUUCCGGGACACCCACUCGAGGUGGCCAGAGACUGACUACCUCUCCUCGUCGAGUUCCACCAUCGUUAGCAGCCACAACGUCCCUAGCCAUUUUGGUGCGAACGGGACUUUAACAACCCAUUCGAGGUCCCUGUCAAGCUCACACAGCGGAAACACGCCUGUCGUGUUUUCGGGUUAUACUCCCCGUAGUAGUCGUCAUAUGAGAGUGUUCAAGCAGGCGUGGUUGACGGUCUGGGACGGCUGUACGUGGUGGAGUAGGCACUAGAGUUUCUUGUAGAUGUUCUAUUCUCCAUGAAGUAACAUUAACUACUGAACACCCGAUGUAGUCACACCCUACAAGAAUCAGCACGAAAAGGUCUCCCAUCAAGUACGUCAUCUUAUCAUCGAUGCUGUCUUUAAUACCUUCAUCGAGUCCGUACGACGUCAAAAGUGGGACAGGUAUAAAAAGUCUACCUUAAAGAUUCGCUGUUACUGAGUGUUUUUUAUAACGAGGUUUCUUAAGAGAGUCUUUUAGUUUCAGGAGUUGUAAAGCUAGUGCAAAAUGGAGUAUAAAACUCUUUUACACCACCAAACGGCGAUCGUUAAUAGUACCAUCGGUCGGAAAAUCGUUCGGCUGGACUCUUUGAUCUAGUUGACCCGAAACACGUCUCAAGAGAACCAAGUUUAUACGCCGACGUCCGUGUAGGAUGGUACCUUUCCAAAUACCUUGUUAAUAACUUGUAAUCCAAACUAUCAGAAGGUGUAAUAAACUUCUGUACAGACGAAAUAGAAUCAUGUACAGGUCUCCCGAUGUAUAAGAACUUCCUACUAAACCACUUCGUUACCGAUCGACUCCUAAAGUACACACGUGUCAAUCCCUUUCUGUACCUCCUUCAACGUUAUUCGAUAAAACUACUCGAACAGUCAUACCCGGACUAGGUUCAAUACCUAUAGUUGAUGUCAAUACUAGAUAACAGAAUAAGUCAGGUAGUAUACCAAGAACUAAAAUAAUGUAUGUUCAGAUAACUUCUCUUGAAGUAGUGACAUCACCUAAUAAGAGUUUGUCGUUACGAUGAAGGACUAUUUCAAGCGGCUAACAGCGAGGUGAAACCGUCACGUUGUAUACGUUGAUGUGGUCGAUCAUGGUCUAAUAGUGUUCAAGCUAGUGAGAAGAAAAAACCUGACAAAUUGACGUACGGAAGUAACUACCACAAAUUCAAAAAAGCUCAAGAUUUGGAAGCAGAAACCCAGCUAGAACCUUUAUACUCAAACCUGGAAUGUUCUUAAUCACUUGACAAAGCUGACUCUAUAAACGUACAGUGUACAUCACGGUAACACUUCAAUGGUCUAGUCUAACUUCGAUACUUUGUAAACCUUUGUGACCUUUAUUUAAGUUCUCAUACGCGGUAAGGUGGUCUGUAACAAGCGGAAGGCUCGAACAACGUAGAGACAGAAGCUCCACCUUGUUUAGAUGGACUGCCCUAACCGGUAUAUUCUAGAGAUGCAUGUGAUUUCAUAAAACUGGAACCAUUAUUGAGACUUCUGUUAAAUACCUCGGCACCGCUCGACUGUUUGGACGCCCUAGAUGUAAAGUGUAUAAGAUCUAAUGGUAGAUCACUUGUAAACUUCUCUUUAGACUAUCGAGACCGGAGAAGUGAACCCUUUGAGACAUUGGAGUUUAGACAGUGAGACCGAGGACCAUGACGUCCGUACCAACAAGAGCAACUACCGAGCUCGUCGUACAGGAGACGAGGUCAGAAGGAACUCUCCGAACUCGACAACGGCGGGUAUACGUAGAAAAGGUCUGAAGGGUUCACCUAACCUGUUGAGGCGUUUUAGACGUAACACUUUCAACGACAAUUUCUUGACGACUGCUUACUAUAACUAUAGGAGUGUCCUAAUGGGAGGGAGCGUCAGGAGAGUAACACCCAGGUCUGUCGGGGACUCCCUCCUUAGUAGAAGUUGCUUCCCCGUGAGGGUCAAGAGUUCAUAAAGCUCAAAUCCACACCGCAUGAAACAGACCGAAAGUACCGUCCUCGUUACGGGUUAGAAGCCUCCUAGUUCGAUCGAAAGUUAUGACUAUAGUCCCUCUUCAUGUCAUUAUACGAAGGGCCUUAGCUCGUGGAAAAUUUGGAGGUCCUACAGUGACCUGUUUAACCCCAUCAAUGACUUAGACUGUCUCCCCGACGACUUAGUCGUAAGUUCCUUCGGUAAUCGUUCGUAGGUUACAGGAGAUCUAGAUCGUAUGUUACCCACCUAGGUCAACUCUUUCAUAAGACAGGAAGUCUCUUUGUCAUAAACUCCGCUCCUUCUCCAAGUAGUCUACUUUGCGUACCCCCAGAUCUCUUUCGGCUUCUACGCUAGUUUGUACGAUUCUCUCCAUUUUGAAGAAGGCGACCCGACCUAGACCUGGUGCUAUAGUUCCGGAUGUCUUGGAGAACAAGUUCGCGAAAAAGGGGAGUUUUCGCGCAGUCUUGUGUGAAGAAAACGUAAUCUUCUUUCCGGUGGUUUUACCCCGUUUCGAUGUGUUGGUGGUUCCCACCGUGACUGGCUUGACUUUUGUUCUUUCUCGUCGUUUUUGAUGUCUGGGGCGAUUUAAUACAUGUUUCCUUUUUGGUUGUCGUUUCGAGAGUAAGUUCACGAAGCCAACCCUUAUUCUGUCUCCUGCGUUUUAACAAGUCAUGGUGAGGAAGUAGUAGUUUAAACGUUUCGUAACUUGCACUUCUCGUCUACAACGACCUGAGGUACCUUGUUCUCACGGACCUAUCGUCGGUCGGACCCCUCGUUUAACGACGACUCUGACCACACGUUAGAGUCCAGAGAAGAGGGAGUAGCGCAAGAGGGAGUAGUCGUUCGUGGUGCUUCUUCUCGUACGAAGACCCGAGUUGAAUCGACCUCUUCCGUACCUCUACUCGAGUUUGUAGUAGAACUUCGUCCUAUAAGAACGAUUCCAAUUUCUUGUACUUCUUGUUUAACGAGCAAAUUCUUACGUAGAACAACUGAUAAGUCACUUCCUUAGGGUGUAUGAAUUACUCUUCGAACAAAACCUUUUUGCAUAACGUAUAUACGCUUCCCUUAAACUAGUCGUGGUUGUUCUAAGGGAACUACGGCGUAGUUUUCGAAACAGAAUGUCUGUUCUGUAAUAACUCCUUUUAGAGGUAGACCGUAUGAGUGAUGUCCGUCGUGCAGCUUCGUCUAGUUUAAAACAUGAAAGAAACUGCGGAGAAGACAGUCGUGUAUUGGACGUCGGAAGAUAAGGCCUACGAGUUAGUUAACAAUCGUUAGACUUCCAAAACAAAUGCGUAAACGUUCUCUUUGAGCGAUAAUGACUCCUCUUUGUCUUCCUUAAUGUCAUGGUCUAACGAGCCGCACGACUUAGAAGUUUAUAAUGCCGUGUCUGUGGAAGAGUAGGAGGACCUUUACGUAACCAACGAAGACAUGCUGCGAUAGGAUAAAACAGGAAAUAAGAGACGAAUGAGGAUUGAAGGAUGUAAAGGUCUCGGUUUGGCUGGAACUGUAACACGGGGUCGUUCGUAUAGGAGUACAUGUCGCAGGUUAAAGAAUAGGGCAAGCUCGAUCUGCCCUAUCCCCAAAUAACCGUUUACUCUUGGCAGUCUAGGAGGGUUGGUUCCGACGAGACUGUCUGUGACUCGUGCUGUUACAACCUUCCUGGAGAGGAGGUUCUUCGUUGGUUAAAUGGUUCAUACCACAUCGUUUUCUUUGACUCGCACUAAGAGCACGACCUGCUAGGGCCUAAAUUGAAACUUAGGUUCCUAGUUUUGGGUAGUAAGUUCCGGGGACAACCCCCACUACAUUGUUUUUUAGAUCUUCCUCGCCUUUGGGUUUGAAGUGCCCUUGGAGGACGCCUCACCUCAGGAGUUCCGGGUGGAUUAAACCAUAGACCGGAACUCCCACCCUUGGACAGAAUGGGAAUAGAAGGAUGACAGGAACUCCUCGGAUCAAGAAGAAAGAAACUUCGACGUCUCCUACUGGGUGAUGGUCGGUAUCUACCCGAUUCUUAGUGUCCACUUCGAAAAGGACCUUCACUUGAAGUUCGUUCACCCAUAAGGUCGUUACCCUGGUGUUCAACAAUAAAACUCACCCAUGCGGUAAACCUUCUACCUAGCCAUUUGAUGUAUCUUCCACGUUUCGUUGGGUGUAUAAAUCAAUGACGACUACUAGACCUGAGAAAUGAUCGGUAUCUCCAGGUCGGAGAUCUACUGGCUUUUUCGAAAGUCCCAAAUGCAGCAGGUUCUCCUACCGGUACUAUCGGAGGAGACCAACUGUGACAGCUCAGGUAGUGAAAGUCCCAAAUGCAGCAGGUGAACCAAGGUCGAUAACUCGUAGCUCGGGAGAGAGGUGACUCCACCGCAGUUCUUGAAACUUAGUAGUGACCUCGGUGGACCCCAGUAACUGUCUCUUCCUGGUUGUGCAUCACAAACUUCUCAUCUUUUCCUAAGGGAGUAGCGUCUGUACCGGAGCUUCUUGGCCCACGUCCUACGUUCGCGUCGUCCGCUGAGAGACUUCAAAACUGAGGUGACCUUUAGAGGUUGACUACGACAGUUACGGGGUAUCAGUGAACGGCGAAAGUCUUCGUCGAGGCUCUUAACAAAGACUCCUCUUCGUUCAUGUCACUCAUCGUUUAUAAUGUUGUGCAAGCGGGUUCUUUGGUGUGUAAGGAAACAUGUCUUUAGUGGGUUCGUCUACGUCGAUUCUAAGAGGAGGUAUUUAGUUAUGUAACAUUUCUUCCGGUUCUUAGCCUUUUGACCAACACCCAAAGAUGAUCUAUGUGGUAAAAAUCAAACGUACUUACUCAAUUACUAUAUAAAAGAUAUUUUUUGACUUUAGUUUUCCUAGUUCUUGGGCUGGACCAUAAGUCGAAGUUGUCCUUACGUUAGUUCGCUUAUUCCAACGAC
rnacentral:rRNA from 1 species